rnacentral:tRNA from 1 species
GCUCCCUUCGUCUAGGGGUUAGGACACUGGAUUUUCAUUCCAGCAGCAGGGGUUCGAUUCCCCUAGGGAGUACCA